UACGGAGGGUGCGAGCGUUAAUCGGAAUUACUGGGCGUAAAGGGCGCGUAGGCGGUGAAGUCAGUCGGGUGUGAAAGCCCCGGGCUCAACCUGGGAACUGCAUCCGAUACUGCUUCGCUAGAGUAUGGUAGAGGGAAGCGGAAUUCCGGGUGUAGCGGUGAAAUGCGUAGAUAUCGAGAGGAACACCUGCGGCGAAGGCGGGUAGCUGGGCCGACACUGACGCUGAGGCGCGAAAGCUAGGGGAGCGAACGGGAUUAGAAACCCGUGUAGU
rnacentral:rRNA from 1 species